AGAGUUUGAUCAUGGCUCAGGACGAACGCUGGCGGCGCGCCUAAUACAUGCAAGUCGAGCGAGAACCAGGGCUUGCCCUGGGGAGAGCGGCGAACGGGUGCGUAUCACGUGAGCAACCUGCCCCGAAGACCGGGAUAACUCGAGGAAACUCGGGCUAAUACCGGAUGCCCUCGAUGGAUCGCAUGAUCCGACGAGGAAAUGGAUUCCGCUUCGGGAUGGGCUCGCGGCCUAUCAGCUUGUUGGUGGGGUAACGGCCUACCAAGGCAACGACGGGUAGCUGGUCUGAGAGGACGAUCAGCCACACUGGGACUGAGACACGGCCCAGACUCCUACGGGAGGCAGCAGUAGGGAAUCUUGCGCAAUGGGCGAAAGCCUGACGCAGCGACGCCGCGUGCGGGAUGAAGGCCUUCGGGUCGUAAACCGCUUUCAGCAGGGACGAAAUUGACGGUACCUGCAGAAGAAGGCCCGGCCAACUACGUGCCAGCAGCCGCGGUGAUACGUAGGGGUCUAGCGUUGUCCGGAAUCAUUGGGCGUAAAGAGCUCGUAGGCGGUUCGGCAAGUCGGAUGUGAAAUCUCCACGCUCAACGUGGAGGGGCCAUUCGAAACUGCCGUGACUCGAGUCCGGUAGGGGAGUUCGGAAUUCCCGGUGUAGCGGUGAAAUGCGCAGAUAUCGGGAGGAACACCAGUGGCGAAGGCGGAACUCUGGGCCGGAACUGACGCUGAGGAGCGAAAGCGUGGGGAGCGAACAGGAUUAGAUACCCUAGUAGUCC
rnacentral:rRNA from 1 species